UUAAUCGGAAUUACUGGGCGUAAAGCGUGCGCAGGCGGUUUUGUAAGACAGUGGUGAAAUCCCCGGGCUCAACCUGGGAACUGCCAUUGUGACUGCAAGGCUAGAGUGCGGCAGAGGGGGAUGGAAUUCCGCGUGUAGCAGUGAAAUGCGUAGAUAUGCGGAGGAACACCGAUGGCGAAGGCAAUCCCCUGGGCCUGCACUGACGCUCAUGCACGAAAGCGUGGGGAGCAAACAGGAUUAGAUACCCUGGUAGUCAAGGGCG
rnacentral:rRNA from 1 species